rnacentral:rRNA from 1 species
GACGUACUUGUACUGAUUGAGAUUUUAACACGAAGUGAGUGGCGAACGGGUGAGUAACACGUGGGUAACCUGCCCAGAAGUAGGGGAUAACACCUGGAAACAGAUGCUAAUACCGUAUAACAGAGAAAACCGCAUGGUUUUCUUUUAAAAGAUGGCUCUGCUAUCACUUCUGGAUGGACCCGCGGCGUAUUAGCUAGUUGGUGAGGUAAAGGCUCACCAAGGCAGUGAUACGUAGCCGACCUGAGAGGGUAAUCGGCCACAUUGGGACUGAGACACGGCCCAGACUCCUACGGGAGGCAGCAGUAGGGAAUCUUCCACAAUGGACGCAAGUCUGAUGGAGCAACGCCGCGUGAGUGAAGAAGGGUUUCGGCUCGUAAAGCUCUGUUGUUAAAGAAGAACGUGGGUAAGAGUAACUGUUUACCCAGUGACGGUAUUUAACCAGAAAGCCACGGCUAACUACGUGCCAGCAGCCGCGGUAAUACGUAGGUGGCAAGCGUUAUCCGGAUUUAUUGGGCGUAAAGCGAGCGCAGGCGGUCUUUUAAGUCUAAUGUGAAAGCCUUCGGCUCA